ACGAACGCUGGCUCCAUGCUUAACACAUGCAAGUCGAACGCUUACCGGGUUUCAGCCCGGUGGGAGUGUCGCACGGGUGAGUAGCGCGUGGGAACCUGCCCUGAAGUGGGGGAUAACCGCGGGAAACUGCGGCUAAUACCGCAUACGCCGGGUCUCUUGAGAGAGAGGUCCGGGAAAGAUUUAUCGCUUUACGAGGGGCCCGCGUCGGAUUAGCUGGUUGGUGGGGUAACAGCCUACCAAGGCACCGAUCCGUAGCUGGUCUGAGAGGAUGAUCAUCCACACUGGGACUGAGACACGGCCCACACUCCUACGGGAGGCAGCAGUGGG
rnacentral:rRNA from 1 species